rnacentral:rRNA from 1 species
UCUGACCUCAAAUCAGGUAGGAUUACCCGCUGAACUUAAGCAUAUCAAUAAGCGGAGGAAAAGAAACUAACAAGGAUUCCCUUAGUAACUGCGAGUGAAGUGGGAAAAGCUCAAAUUUAAAAUCUGGCAGUCUGAUUUUAUAUCUUUGGCUGUCCGAGUUGUAAUCUAGAGAAGUGCUACCUGUACUGGACCAUGUAUAAGUCUCCUGGGAUGGAGCAUCAUAGAGGGUGAGAAUCCCGUCUUUGACAUGGACUGCCAGUGUGUUGUGGUGUACUUUCAAAGAGUCGAGUUGUUUGGGAAUGCAGCUCUAAAUGGGUGGUAAACUCCAUCUAAAGCUAAAUAUUGGCGAGAGACCGAUAGCGAACAAGUACCGUGAGGGAAAGAUGAAAAGUACUUUGGAAAGAGAGUUAAACAGUAUGUGAAAUUGUUGAAAGGGAAACACUUGAUGUCAGUUGUGUUAGCUAGGGAUCAGCCCAGCUUUUUUUG